rnacentral:tRNA from 1 species
UCCCUGGUGGCUCAGACGGUAAGGUGUCUGCCUAGAAUGCAGGAGACCCAGGUUCAAUCCCUGGUCGGGAAG